rnacentral:rRNA from 1 species
GGCGGCCCAAGUGGUGGCCACUGUUAUUGGGCCUAAAGCGUCCGUAGCCGGCCCGGUAAGUCUCUGCUUAAAUCCCGCGGCUUAACCGCGGGGCUGGCAGAGAUACUGCCGGGCUUGGGACCGGGAGAGGCCGGGGGUACCCCAGGGGUAGCGGUGAAAUGCGUUGAUCCCUGGGGGACCACCUGUGGCGAAGGCGCCCGGCUGGAACGGGUCCGACGGUGAGGGACGAAGGCCGGGGGAGCAAACC